rnacentral:lncRNA from 1 species
UUGGGAUGGCAGAUCAAAGUGGAUCUUCAGGAGUGGAAUUUAGCUCAAGUGGAAGUUCGAAAAUGGGCCUUGAGUAAAAGUUGAUGAAGGAGACAAUUCUUCUGGAAGCGACUCUCUUACCUGUUUGUUUUUCCCCCAUUUCCAACGGACAGAAGCCUAUCGGGGGAGGGGGGAUUUUAAAACUGUUCCUGCCUGGAGACUGAAUAAUAACUGGGUUUUCAUUUACAUCUGAGGUGGAAACACAACACUCUGGCUGGUGGGCAAGCCAUGGGUCGGUGGUUCCCUAGCCCCACUCAGCCCAUGGCACCCGGAUCCCACGCAGAAAGUCAGGCGUGUGCAGCGUGGAGGGGCUCUGAGCAGUUAACCAACCAUGCUUGGAGAGCAUCUUCCUUCUUCUGAGUUCACAUCCUUCCAUGGUUAGGAAGAGAAAAUGUCCUUUCCUUCACCAAACGCAGCAUCAGAGCAGAGUCAGAGUUGUGUUUUCUGUUGACUUUUAAUGUCUUCUCUUGUUUAAAUAAAAGCUGGCAACCUUUCCUGCAACCU